rnacentral:rRNA from 1 species
AGUAACACGUGGAUAACCUACCUAUAAGACUGGGAUAACUUCGGGAAACCGGAGCUAAUACCGGAUAAUAUUUUGAACAGCAUGGUUCAAAAGUGAAAGACGGUAUUGCUGUCACUUAUAGAUGGAUCCGCGCUGCAUUAGCUAGUUGGUAAGGUAACGGCUUACCAAGGCAACGAUGCAUAGCCGACCUGAGAGGGUGAUCGGCCACACUGGAACUGAGACACGGUCCAG